GAACUGAUUCAGAAUAACUAUAUAUGUGUGUGUGUAGGUGUGUAGGACUACAAAUGAAAUAAGAUUAUUCAUGAGUUUAUAAAUACUGAAGCUGGGAGAUAGGUGCAUGAAAGUUCACUGUGCUAUUCUUUUUACUUUUAUAAAUGUUUGGAAUUUUCCUCACAAAUAUUUGAAAGUGGAAGGAAAAAGUCUUUAGUGGAAAUGCUAUUCUCAGAGUCAUGAAAGUUAAUAAUAGCAUCAGAUAUACACAAAGUGAUUUUAAGUGAAUUACUUUGUUUAAUCUUUGAAACAAUUCUAUGAAAUAGGUCCGAUUAUUAUACCCAUUUAACAGAUAAUAUUAUAGAUGAAGCCUUUGCUCUUAAACAAUCUCUCUUCCUAAGGAAAUAGGUAUCUGAAUCAGAGAGCCCCCUCCCGAGAAUUGUGGGUAUGCGAGGUGAGUACCAUUCUCACAAACGGUAUUUUAGCAAAGUGCUCACUGUCUACAUGUAUUACAUGUGGAUUACAUCUACCUUGAGUGUCACUAGUGACUUAGAAGACUAGAGCAGACACUGUGAAAAGCUCAUGUACUAGGUGGCUUUGGGCAAGUUACUUAUUUUAUUAAGAUCUGGGCUUUGAUUUCCUCACCUGCAAAAAUUAUUUUAAUACCUAUUUCACUGGGUUGUUGUGAUUAUGAGUAAUUUGAAAACUGAGACCCUCACAAGGCUCGGAAGAAAAAGCACACUGUUCUGUGUCCUCAGCACUUGGCACAGAAUGAGUGCUUAGAAACGUGUCCUUCCUGAAUCCUCCCCUCCCUCUCUCCCCGACUCCCUCCCUCCCUCCCUCCUUUCCUGAGUUUGGUGAAAAAGUCAAAGUGAUCUCCUGGGCCACUCAGACUCCCUCCGAGAGCUCAGCUUGCUGUAUCAAGGGAUGGCUGUGAUGAAUGAGUAAAACAGUGCAGAUAACCUGAGAAGCACAUCCACCUGCUAUUGCAAAUAGGGUGAUAAGCACCCUCUUCCAUGGGGGUGACCUAAUCCUACCAUCUCAACCCAGCAGUGGCCCUAACAGGCGACAGAACCCACUGGUUAUUUUCAGAAAUGAUAGCUCCGUGGCAAUUAUGGAAAAACCAAGAUCUUUGAUUUUGGCAGGAACUCUUAACAUUCAGAGAAAGAGUGAUACUCAGCAGCACAACAGGGUGAGACAUUUCAUCAUCCAGGGGUAACUUGAGCAACUAAGUCACUCCAACGGGUUCACUUAGAUGCUUCCCCACUCAAAAUGAGGCUGUCUCCAAGCCCCACGACAAGAUGCCCUGUGGCAGAAGUAGAGAAGUGGAACAUCAGCAUCAGACCCUCACACUCUUCGGUGGCCUUGUCACAUCCUCCCUGGGGAAAUGAUCCAACAUCCCAGAGCAUCAAAAGUCCAAUAUCUCUGUUUACCUGUCACCUUACAGCGGCCUCCACACAGUGGAGGUGUCCCUCUUGCACUUGAUUUUCAUAACAAAGCACCUGCUUGACUCCUGCUUGUCAGAGACCUAAAGCACCUGAGCUCUUUCCCUGCAGCAGCACAGUAGCUGCUGGUGUGUUCUGCAUCUCAAUUCAGCAGCGUCUGCUCCCAUCAAAUCUGAGCAGAGAGCAAUGGCCCAAGGGACCUGAUAAAACAGCAGCUCUUCGCGAAUUUCUCACUUUCAUCAAGUCUGACCACCGGAAAGUUACAUGUGUACUUGGGAUGUGGGACUCCAGCAGUGUCCCCAACUAAGCUACCAAUUUAACAUGAUGCCCUUCCUUGGCUUUGAUCUGGGUGUGGACAUGAGAAAUGACUGCACGGAGAAUCGGAGAAUGCCACCCCCAUCCACACCCGUGUAAAUGCAUGAAAACAUCCUCUUAGACUCCGGUGCUAAACUAAGAAGAUUCUUCUUCUGAUGAGAGGGUGUGCAUCUGCUUAUAGGAUAAUGAGAGCUCUUAUAUCUCUUUUUGCCUGAGCUGCAAAAGCCCAAGGCUAAAUCUUCUUCUCUGUUGUAACGGCUUUCUUUUACUUAAGCUUAAGAUAUAAUUAUUCCCCCUCUCCAUCCCUCUCAUUACCUGGCAUUUUCCUAGACAUAAAGUUAGACAUCAUCUUGUUUAUUCUGACAGCCACACCUAAGAGUAUCUAUUUAUUAUCAUUAUUUUAUGGAUAAGGAAAAUAAGGAAGAGGGAGACGAAAUGAUUUGCCACAACUGACUGAGUCCCACUGGGAACUUUGUUAGUUAUAAACAAUAAACAAAGGAUUGUAAAAAUCAUGGUGUAUAGUCAUAGUAUAUGCUCUGGGUCUGAGUGUAAUGUACUUAGCCAGGCAUGCUGGUGCUCACCUGUCAUCCCAGCUACUCAGGAGGCUCAGGCAGGAGGAUCUCUUGAGCCCAGGAGUUUGAGGCUGCAGUGAGCUGUGAUCACUCCUGUGAAUGUUAUAGCCUUACCAGGUUCAUGGCCCACUGCUCAAGAGGAAGCCAAGGCACUGAGACAGCAGGGUUACAGCAGAGAAAGAGUUUAACAUUGCAGGUGCCAUGUGAGAAGAUAUGAGGAAGUUCUCAGAUCUGUCUCCUUGAGAAUUUGGUAGAAAGCAUUUUUAAAGGUAAUUUGGUGGGCAAAAGGCUAGGCAAUUUGGUCUGUUGAUUGACUGGCUUUGGGGUAGAACCACAGGGGUAUAGAAAUUGUCUUCUUUGCUGAGUCAGUUCUUGGAUAGGGGUCACAAGAGCAGUUGCGUCAGUUCCUUGGUACGGGCCACUGGUUUGGGUGGGUCAGCAGUUCUACCAGAAUGCAGGGCCUGGACGAUAUCUCAUAAACUAGCCUUAGGUUUCAAGAGGGUGAUGUUAUCAAUGGGCGCAAUGGAGAAAGCUAAGAACCUUUAUGACCAUCAGCUGUGUGACUCCUGAGUAUGAGCAAUUAUAGGAAAGCAAGUUAGGGAACAAUGGCUGGUUUUAUGUGUGUAUAUUUUUUGCCUACCAUAGAUCCCACCUUGCGGCCCUUUAUUAAUUUCAUAAAGGGUAGCUUCAUGAAUACCCACUGAACUUCUGAUUGGGCAACAUAGCAAGACCCUGUCUCUAAAAUUAAAAAAAAAAAAAACAAGUCCUUAUGGUUGUUUGUUGUUAUAAAACUCUGGCAAAGCCACUCAUUGUGUUGACACGGCACUUGUUCAGCAAAACCAGCCCUUCUAAUGUCAGGUAAUUCGUUAUUAUAGACCUGCCGGUGUGAAGGCCAACAAAAAUGCUUAAAACAAAAACUUACCAUAGAAUUUGAACCUCCACAUUAAAAGAUAUAGAUCUUGUGUAUAUAUGUUUUGCCCUAUUAUUAAGAAGCAAAAUUUAGAAGGCGAGUAAUUAUAAUUUAAGUAAUUUGCUUAAUACAGUACCUAAAAUUACUGUCAGAUAAACAUUUCUUGAGAAGAUCAAAAUAUAUGGUUAUUUUACAUUUUCCCAUUUGGAUCUCUUUCAAUUUCUGCAGUUUAUUAGCUUGGUUCAGUGUCUUUGAGCAUUAGUCAACAUUUAAAAUGUAGGUUUUUAUGAUUCUGGGAGAAGCAAUUGCUUCCAAGGGAGAAAACAUUCUGUAAAUUACAUGUAAAUGUUUUUACUUGGAUGAGUUCUUUUGCAUCUGUGCAGAGGAUCAUUUUAAUUUACACAAGAAUGAAGGUUUUCCGUGAUUGAAUGUACUAUGCGUGCUUGUGUAUCUAAUUUCCACUUCAUUUAUACCAGAGUCUAGCAGACACAAGGGGCAUUUUGUUAUAAUGUAAGUGCUACUUAAAAAUAAAAUAAAAUUAUAAUAAAAAGCUAAGGAUUA